rnacentral:rRNA from 1 species
UUGGAGACAAGUAUGAACGGUUUAAUUAAGCACGUUAGUUUGUUUUGUUAAAUAGAAAUUUAAAGAUAAAGUAAUAAUUCUUUAAUAUAUAAGGGGACGAUAAGACCCUAAAAGCUUUAAAAGUAUUAGUAUAUUAAUGUUAAAAUUAAAUUUAGUUAACUGGGGUAGUUAGUUUUUUUAAAUAAAAUUUCUAUAAAAAGAUCCUUUAAAUAAAGAUUAAAUGUAAUAGUUACUUUAGGGAUAACAGUGCUAUAUAUUUGGGGAGACCAGAUCUAUAAAUAUGUUUGCUACCUCGAUGUUGAAUUAGAAGAUCUAUUCAGGCAUAAUAUGUUCAAGAAAGUUUGUUCAACUUUUAAACUUCUACAUGAUCUGAGUUCAAACCGG